GAGGCGAUGAAGGACGUGCUAAUCUGCGAUAAGCGCCGGUAAGGUGAUAUGAACCGUUAUAACCGGCGAUUUCCGAAUGGGGAAACCCAGUGUGAUUCGUCACACUAUCAUUAACUGAAUCCAUAGGUUAAUGAGGCGAACCGGGGGAACUGAAACAUCUAAGUACCCCGAGGAAAAGAAAUCAACCGAGAUUCCCCCAGUAGCGGCGAGCGAACGGGGAGGAGCCCAGAGCCUGAAUCAGCAUGUGUGUUAGUGGAAGCGUCUGGAAAGGCGCGCGAUACAGGGUGACAGCCCCGUACACAAAAGCGCAUGUGCUGUGAGCUCGAUGAGUAGGGCGGGACACGUGGUAUCCUGUCUGAAUAUGGGGGGACCAUCCUCCAAGGCUAAAUACUCCUGACUGACCGAUAGUGAACCAGUACCGUGAGGGAAAGGCGAAAAGAACCCCGGCGAGGGGAGUGAAAAAGAACCUGAAACCGU
rnacentral:rRNA from 1 species